rnacentral:rRNA from 1 species
AACGAACGUUGGCGGCGUGGAUUAGGCAUGCAAGUCGAACGCGAAAGGGUAGCAAUACCCGAGUAAAGUGGCGAACGGGUGAGUAACGCGUAGGAAACCUGCCUUCGAGUGGGGGAUAACAUCCCUAACGGGGUGCUAAUACCGCAUGAAACUGCGUAAUCGCAUGGUUGUGCAGUCAAAGGUGGCCUCUAUUUAUAAGCUACCGCUCAAAGAUGGUCCUGCGUCCCAUUAGCUAGUUGGCGGGGUAAUGGCCCACCAAGGCAUCGAUGG